rnacentral:misc_RNA from 1 species
CAACAACCUUGACCAGAAACUUGUAGCAGACGACUAAGUUUGAUGUGUGAUUUUAUUCAAUUUUAGGUUUUCGCCCGCUAUGCAGCUAUAAUUGAGAAAAUGAUGCAAAACCAACGAGAGCCAUUUUUCAAACCUCUCAAUACAGACCACAAUACAUUUGAGGUAUCGGCCGGAAAGACUCAAAGUAAGAACAGACAGGCACAAAACUCGAAUGAAUACACCAGACCAGAUCAAGAUUUGGCUGUCAAUGGGGAGAGACUGAAUUCUUUGCAUGCAAAACUACACCAGGAAGCUGAUAGAAUAAGAAAAUGGAAAAAUCAGACAGAGUUAGACAUGAAACAAAAGGACAGGAAAAUACAGGAAUCCAGUCAUACCAUAGAUUCAUUAAGAAAGUCUAUACUUGAUAUUCAGCUUCAAAAUGAGAGCCUCAGCAUGGCACUUCAAGAAGAAAUAAGUAACAGAGAGGACAUUUUACAGAAGGUGUCAGCCACAAGAAAUCUGUGUUCAGUAUUGAAAGACCACCUUGCAAAAACCGAAGCAAAGGUUGCAGAAUGUGAGGUAGAAAAGACUGAAGUGAAAUAUCUUGAACAAGAACAUAAAAGACAAUUUGAAAGUCUGUCAGAGAAGUUUAAGGAACUUCAGGUAGCAAGGGAUGAAGACAACAAACAGUUCAGUAAUCAGAUUUCUGUGUUGUCUGAGGAGAAGGAAUGUUUAGGACAAGAGUUGAAACAUAGCAAACAAGAAGCUGAGACAAAGUUAAAAGUCUUGAACCAGCAGCUGGAUGACAAGAAUAUUGAGAUACGUGACAUUAGAGCACAAGUUCAGAAAAACAAUGACAAAAUACACCAUCUGGAGAAAACUAUAGAUUCCUUGACACAAGACCUUGAAACUUCAAAAGAUCAGUUGGAAAAUGCUACAAAAAAGCAUGAUGAUCUAAGCAAGCAGCUUGAAACAACACGGAUGGAUAAAGAAAAAUUAGAACAGAAAUUUAGUGACAGUAAAAGUAAUGUUCAACAGUUGACCAACAAAUGUACAGAUCUUCAGACGGAGUUGAAUUCAGAAAGACAGGAACAUUCUGAGCAGAUUCAGGCAUUGCAGUCUGAACUAGAUCAGCAGAAAGAACAGUUAAAUCAGAAACAAAUAAAAUUGCAGUUUUUACAAAAUGACUUUGACAGUGCAAGCACUUUACUGGAGGAAGUGAAAAGCUCAAAAGAUAUUUUGAUUAUGGAAAAAGCUGAGCUACAAAACAGAGUAACUGAACUUGAAAAGCAAAAUGCCGAGUUACUUUCAAAACAUGAGGAAAACUGUAUAACAUUGAACCAGAUGACAGAAACGAUCAGCGGACUACAAGGUCAACUUGUUACAAGCCAACAAGAAGGAGCUAAUCUUUUACUACAGUUGAACGAAAUCAGAGCUCACCUUUCAGCAGUUGAGACAGAGAAAUUACAGCUGGAUGAAAAAAUCAGAGUGAUUGAGUCAGACAUGGUCUGUAAGAAGGCUGGCAUGACAGACUUGCAAAGAGAACUGGUAGAGAAGACUGAACAAAUAGCAAACUUGUCACAGAAGAUAGAGCUACUAGAAGAACAAUUACAGAAUGAACAAUAUAACCAUAGCCAGACUCAGGCAGAAAUGAAAGUAUGUCAGAAUGAACUUGGUUGUAACCAGAAAGAAUUAGCCAUGAAAAUGGAACAACUGAAGAGAUUACAGAAGGAACUCGAGACAUUGAAUAAAAAGAACGAGGGUCUUGCAGAAACUCUGAAACAUAAAGAAACAACAGAGACAGAAUUGAGAGAGGAAAUAGCAGCCCUUCAGUCAGAACUUGCUUUACUAAGAGAGAAUAAUGAAACUUUACUUGAAGAAAGACAGCAAUCUGAUGAGGCUCUCCAUGGGAAACUUCUGUCAAAAGAGAAGACGGCAUCAGACCUAGAAACAAAGAAUAAAAGCCUCAAGUCAGACAUAACUACUAAGAAUAAACACAUUAAAGAACUGGAAAAAGAGAUACGUAGCCUUAAAUCGAAGUUAACAUCUGAAAAUAAGUGUGUGGAAAGCAAAAAUCUGGAACUUUUAAAGCUGCAAUCUGACAUGGAGACAGAAGCUGCAUCCAAGUCAGAGCUUGAGUCAAAGAUCAAGGAACAAGAUGAACAUGUGAAAAGGGUGCAAGAAGAGUUGAAGACUGCUGAGAAGACAGCCAAAGAAUCAAAAGAGUAUGCAGAAAAGUGUCUUGCAGAAAAAGAUCAGAUGUUUUCUCAGUGUGAAGCUCAGAGGACAGAAAUGAGCUCCAUAAUGCAGGGUUACAGAUCUGACCUUGACAAAAAUCUGACCAAGAAGGAGAAAGAGGUUGAAACAUUGAAGCAUAAACUUGAGACAAUGAAAACUAAACAUAAGAAAGAGAUGGAUGACAAAGUUUCUAAAUUAAACAGUCAAAUUGAACAGCUGAGGAAGACUAUUUCUGACUCUGGAUAUCAAAUGGAGAACCUCCAGAAAAACUUUAGUGAAAAAGAAACCAAGGUUCAGGAACUUGAGAAACAGAAUAUGCAAAAGGAUGAAGAGUUGAAGGAUUUACAAGAAGAACUAGGGAAGAUGUACAUCAAGAGUACAACCACAAGUGUGGCACAGACAAGCCCUUUUCCAGACAAAACGUACCAGAAAAAAAAUGCGAGUAAAAUACCAACACCAGUCCUGCCUCCUAGAACACCUCAGAUUAUACCAUCAGAUACCACGAGUGAUUUGAAGACCCAAGCACUACUGAAGACACCACAGACACUGAGAACUCCAUCCAACAUGAAAACUCCACAGAGAUCCAUUCUGAAACCAUUGUCUGGAAACUCUGCCUCCAAGAAGCGGAGAGUAGUAUUUGCCUCCAAAGAUAAUGAUGGAAAUUCUGAAUCUGGAGAAUCAUCCUCUUUCGAAGUGAUGGAUGUUGAGAAUGAUAAGAAUGGUAAGCAAUGUACAACUCCAUUGAUUCUGAAACAUUCCCCAAAGCCAACUACACCAUCAAGAAUAGAUAGUGUAAAGAAAAACUCAUCAGUACCUUUAAGCAGAACUCCAAGAGGACCUCCUGUAGAUCUUGGGAAGAAAAAGAAGACGCAUAAGGCAAAGGAAACUGAUAUAAACAUGCUUGCUGAUGAUGAAGAGAUGCCUCUGUUAAUAGAAGACAGUGUUAAGGACAAGAAAGAAAAAACAUCUUCUGUAAGAAAAACACCAAAUAAAAGUGCAGGCAAGUUUUUCAAGAACAGUCCAAAGCAGCGAAAAGAGGUUAAAAGCAGCGAUAUGUCUUGGUUUGAAAACGAUGAUAUUUUUGGUUUCGCUCUAGAAGAUUGAUGAAAUUAAGGGAUUUUUGAUCAGUAACAUUCAAGAUUUUUAUGAAAGGUGAUUGUUUUGUGCAAGAUUAACAUAUCUCAAUAUUUAAUAUCAGUUUUUUCCCCAGCAUAGCAGAAGUGGUAGAUGACUACAGUUCUUUGUUUUAUAUAACUUCUGGACUGUGAUUUUAUGUAAAGACGACUUGAAUCAAUAUAAGGCUAUUAGUUCAUUGAUUUUGCUUUAUAACUACGUUUCUAAACUGGGAUUGUGAAAGGAUCUAUCAGAAAUUAUUGGCUAUUCUUACAAACAUCGUCUAUCAAUUUACUGAAAGUUUGUAUGAGAGGCUGUAUUUUGUGUAAAUCUUGAUGUGCAUGAAUACAUUUAUACUGAAAAUAUCACCAUACCAUAUCAAAUGCAGGAGGCACACCAAAGUGGAUUUAAUUCAGAGUUCUAACUGGAUGUUUGUAAAUAAAACGUUUUAUCCCCAUCCUCUGGGGGCGACAUAUAGUAAUUGCUGUGUCGGUCCAUCCAUUCGUUCCCAUUUUGUGUCCAGUCUGUAACUGUCAUCCACCAAGAGAUUUUAGUAGGGACUAUGUGUCAUGCCUAAGAACUGGACCCCUAGCUCAUAGGUCAAGGACACACUUGGAGGUCAGUGGUCAACAGGCCUUUUUCCUGUCCGGUAUGUAACUCGACCAACUUCUAUGUAUUUUAAUAUUACUUGGCACAAUACGUUCCCCAUAAUCAGAUGAUGUGUCAUGCAUAACAAUCCGGCACCAAGUUCAAGGUCACACUUGGAGGACAAAGGCCAGUAGAUUUUUACUAUCCGGUCCAUAACUCUGUCAUCCGUAAGGGAUUUUAAUAUUAUGUGGCAAAAAUGCAUCCCAUAUUAUAAUAAGACGAUGUGUCCUGCAUAACACCCAGUCCGUUUAGCCCAAAGGUCAAUGUCACACUAAAUAGUCAAAGACCAAUAUGUUCAUUCCUGUCCGGACCCAUUUCUCUGUCAUCCAUCAAAGAAGUUUAUAAGGAUCUUACAUACCUGCCUGUGUAAGACCGGUUUUUGCCCUAUCCGAGGGACAGUGUAGGAAUGAAAAACCGAGCGUUAGCGAGGUUUUUUAUCCAAACUGUCCCGAGGGUUGGAAAUAAUAUUACUUGACACACAUUGUUCCCAAUAGUGACACUACGAGUCGUUCGAAAAGUCGGAUCAUUAACAGAGUUCAUGGUCACACUUCGAGAUCAAAGUUUAAUAGGUUCUUUCCUGUGUGGUCCAUAACUCUGCCAUGUAAUAUCUUUGGUACACAUGUUUGCCAUUAUGAGACAACUUGACAUGCACAACACUCAGGCCCCUAGCUCGAAGAUCAAGGUCACACUUCGAGGUCAAAGGUCAAUAGUUUUUCCCUCUCCAUAACAUAUAGGUUUUAAAAAAUUGACGUUGUUUACCCAGAUAUCACUUCCAUUUAAAUGAAGCAGUAGAUUCUAUGGGGGCACUUUUUUAUGUAGUUUCUUGUUUUAAUAAAAAAAACUUACUAUAAAAUGCUUUAUGUAUUUCUUAUCUUGAAAUGGCCUAUUUCAGUAGUGAGAGCGAUCUUAUUUACCAAGAUUUAUGGUAACUUACACCUGUAAUAGGUGUCUGAGUUGAUGAAAAAAAUACCGGUCAUGAGAAUAUAAUGUGUAUUCUAGACAUGUUAGAUAUUGACUUAUAUUGUAUAGUUUAUAUUUGCAUAUGUUGCUAAAAUGUAUUGCUAGAAAAAUGUAGGAGAUAGCUUUUAAUCUUAGGGAGAUACUACAUCAUUUUGACCUGUGGUAAAACUGUGAUAAUUUCUUCAUACAAUAGUGUUUCAGGGAACUCAUUAUAUUUAGCAUAUCUGUUAUACUGAACUUGUCUGUGAAUAUUGUUGUUUUGAAUUGUUAUAAAUAAAAGAGGAAUUCAGUA